rnacentral:lncRNA from 1 species
GCUGUAAGAAGCCAGGAUGGCGGGCGUUCUGAUGAAAGUUGGUCACAACGGGCUGUCCAGCAAGGCUCAUUCUCUGGAGAUGAGUUUUAUCUGUAGACGAUGUUUGCUGUGUGAGACUCUGUGGUAUCCUACACCCGUGAUCUGCAUACUUGCAACCAUGUAUCAACACACUAAAUACGUCACACUAGCUUUCAAAAAGAGUAGCAAAAAUGGGGUUGAGCUGUAGCUCAGGUGGUAACAAGCUUGCUCCGCAUGUUGGAAGCCCUGGGUUUGAUUCAUAAACUGAUCUGCUGUUACAUAGCUGUAAUCCCAGCACCUAUUUAAGAAGGAGAGUCAGGAGGAUCAGUGGUGCAAGAUUGUCCAUGGCUGCAGAGUGAGGAGUUCUGAGAUGCACUGGGAAGAUGGGAAGAUGAAGACAGGAGAGGACCAAUCUCAGUGACUACUUUGUACAAUAGCUGUCUCCUGAGAGGCUCUGCCAGAGCCUUAUGGAUACAGAUGCAGAUGCUUGCAAAGCCAGCCUCCUGGACUGAGCACGGGGACCCCAGUGGAGGAAUUAGGGGAAGGACUGAAGGAGCUGAAGAGGUUUGCAACCCCAUAGAAAAAACAACAAUAUAACCAGCCAGACCCCUGACCCCCAGAGCUCCCAGGAACUAAACCAUCAACCAGAGUACACAUGGA